UACGGGGGGGGCAAGCGUUGUUCGGAAUUACUGGGCGUAAAGGGCUCGUAGGCGGCCAACUAAGUCAGACGUGAAAUCCUUCGGCUUAACCGGGGAACGGCCUCUGAUACUGGCUGGCUGGAGUUCGGGAGAGGGAUGCGGAAUUCCAGGUGUAGCGGUGAAAUGCGUAGAUAUCGAGAAGAACACCGGUGGCGAAGGCGGCCAACUGGACGGUGACUGACACUGAGACGCGAAAGCGUGGGGAGCAAACAGG
rnacentral:rRNA from 1 species